rnacentral:lncRNA from 1 species
GUUAGAUCUUUUACUAUGGCUUAAGCAUUAAGCGGGGAAGUCUCUUCAGAGGUCAGAAAAAGAAGAAAUUGAAACAAAACAAUGGCCGGAAGUCCAAGAAACUUGAAGAUUUAAUGAUGAAGAAUGUGGAAGGGUUUUGAUGACUGGCGCAUUGCAUUUGUACAUCAUGUUUUUUAUAGUCUAAGAGGAAAAAAAUCAGAAAACCAAAAAAUUACCAGUGUUUCUCGCUUUCUACCUGCACUUCCAAAAUUACAUAUUUGUCUCUCAUUUAAUAAAAGUCAAAGUAGUAUUAAUGAUACACCCCUAGCUACCAACAACCCUAUAAACCUUAAGAGAUCCACCCCCUUCUUCGUUGUUCUUAUACUCUGAAUCAUUUCCUUGAGUUCACUUAUUACUCUUUCAUUAGUUUAAGUUGAGCGUGGUGGUCAUCUGGUGGUGAUAGUUGGUUGUUGGUGGGAGGAAGAAGAAGAGUGGUGGUGAUACUUCUUGCUGAAGAACUGGGUUGCUGAAGAAGAAGAAGGUUUAGUAUGGAAACAAAAUUUUCCUUUCAUUUUAUUAAAUAAACCUCACAUUCUUUUAUAACUUUCAAUAUAUCAGUAAGUUUAAAUGUACAGUUGGGACUUUUUUUUUAAUAGAAUAAGAAAAAUAUUCCAUCAGGGGUGCUUUAUUCAUUAAAAGAGUAACAAUGUCAAUUUCACUUAACUCACCAUUUAUUUCUGACUCAUGGGAGUUUUGGAUGAUGGAGUUUCUUGAAGCUACUAAAACAAAUUUUUAAAAGGGAUUUGGGAUUGGUACAUGAGU